UACAGAGGUGGCAAGCGUUGUUCGGAAUUACUGGGCGUAAAGAGUGCGUAGGCGGUUUUCUAAGUUUGGUGUGAAAUCUCCCGGCUUAACUGGGAGGGUGCGCCGAAAACUGGAAGGCUUGAGUAUGGGAGAGGUAAGCGGAAUUCCUGGUGUAGCGGUGAAAUGCGUAGAUAUCUGGAGGAACACCGGUGGCGAAGGCGGCAUCCUGGACCGACACUGACGCUGAGGAGCGAAAGCCAGGGGAGCAAACGGG
rnacentral:rRNA from 1 species